UACGUAGGUGGCGAGCGUUGUCCGGAUUUACUGGGCGUAAAGAGCGCGCAGGCGGUCGAUCAAGUCGGAUGUGAAAUCCCCCGGCUCAACUGGGGAGCGUCAUUCGAUACUGAUCGACUUGAAGGCAGGAGAGGGAAGCGGAAUUCCCGGUGUGGUGGUGAAAUGCGUAGAUAUCGAGAGGAACACCUGCGGCGAAGGCGGGUUGCUGGGCCGACACUGACGCUGAGGCGCGAAAGCUAGGGGAGCGAACGGGAUUAGAAACCCCUGUAGU
rnacentral:rRNA from 1 species